rnacentral:lncRNA from 1 species
UCGCCGUUGGCGUGCGCAGCAUGCUUGCACGGAAGAAGGUUGACUAGCUCGGUGUCACACGUGACGCUUCACUGAUGGACGAUAUUAUUCAGAGUGAUUACAAAGAUGUUGCAUAUAGAGUCAGGGAGAAAGGUAGGGACACAAUUAAUCCAAACAAGAUAGUUUUUCAAAUCUCAGCCCAAAUAUAAUUUAUAUUGAUUCUACCCAUACCAUUUGUAUGUUGCAAUUUUCUUUCAUAUUGUUGAUUUCAUCCCUUCUAAUAAGCCGAUGGAAUAGUGAAUAAUACAUUUCCUGUAUAACUCCAAGCAAUGAAGUCAGUCGUAUUAUGCAUACGGAGGGGAAUCACGGGCACCCACAAAACAUCAAUUGGCCACAACGUUUGUCUCGUCAACUCUUCAUUUUGAAAAUCGGAGAC